CUCACGUGUUUCAAAUAGAGCUUCUACGUUUGCCGGUCGUUAUGCGUUGGUUUGUAUUCGAAACAAGCUGCAGGAUCCUGGCAGCUACUUCCCCUGGCUCCAUGCAGAGCGCUCCAACUUAGCAACAAACAGCACAUGCAAGAGAAUGCGGAAAACACAAGAUGCACAACCUUUGCCAAAGGGCCUGAUGAAAGUGCAGAGUCUGCAGAGGGAAUGCGCUUGACACAAUUUUAAUAAGUAUUUUCAAAGAAACCUUUACAAGCAAAUCUUAAAUGAGCGUAUUUAAACUCCUCCAAAACACACUGCUCAUUUCUGCCCCAAAUGCAGACAUUUGUGCCAAAACUUAGCAUUUGAAAGUGAAAAUAAAAGCACUACAAAAACAAA